rnacentral:rRNA from 1 species
CUCCAAUAGCGUAUAUUAAAGUUGUUGCAGUUAAAAAGCUCGUAGUUGGAUCUCAGGUCCAGGCUUGCGGUCCACUCCUUGGUGGCUACUGCUCGUCCUGACCUACCUCCCGGUUUUACCCUUGGUGCUCUUGAUUGAGUGUCUCGGGUGGCCGGAACAUUUACUUUGAAAAAAUUAGAGUGUUCAAAGCAGGCAGUUCGCCUGAAUAAUGGUGCAUGGAAUAAUGGAAUAGGACCUCGGUUCUAUUUUGUUGGUUUUCGGAACUUGAGGUAAUGAUUAAGAGGGACAGACGGGGGCAUUCGUAUUACGGUGUUAGAGGUGAAAUUCUUGGAUCGCCGUAAGACGAACUACUGCGAAAGCAUUUGCCAAGAAUGUUUUCAUUAAUCAAGAUCGAAAGUCAGAGGUUCGAAGACGAUCAGAUACCGUCGUAGUUCUGACCAUAAACGAUGCCAACUAGCGAUCCGCCGGAGUUGCUUCAAUGACUCGGCGGGCAGCUUACGGGAAACCAAAGUUUUUGGGUUCCGGGGGAAGUAUGGUUGCAAAGCUGAAA